UUCUUUAUGAUUGGUUGGAAUUCUUAUUUUUUUUUAGUUUGGUGGGAUUUUUUUAAUCCUAGUGAUUUCAUUGUUCCUUUUGAUACGUGUUAUAUACAAGAUCGUUACGUGUUAUGUUGUCCUCCCAUCUCCCACUGCAUCCAAUUACAAAUCUACAACAAAUUUACACCGCCUCAAUUCUUUACCUACUUCUUUCACCGCCUUCAUUUUCUAACGCGAGACAUAAAUCCAGUUUCUUCCUCACUUUUGUCGACUCCGUUCACAACCCAUCGACCAUGGUAAUUUGAGGUUUUUUGUGGAUGAUAUCACUUAUCUGCAUGGACAAUCAGGUCAAUUUGGUCCCCAUUGGAACGUCUUCAUGAUUCUUCAACUGAAUGUUCUUCACUUCGACAUCUUCGAAUCCUUCAUGUAAGCUUUUCAUAUUCUGAAGCUUUGAUUUCGAUUUUAAUGUUGUUUCUUUUUAGUACUGCUCCACUUUCAAUAGAUGUUUGUUUCAUGUUUUGAUUUCAUCCAUUCUUAUCAAAUUUGUGCGUAUUUGAAUGCUUGUUGUAGGGCUUUGUUUUCAAUAUCUGAUCAAUGUUUUUAAGUAUUUGCCACUAUUUCUUUGUCGAUGAUAACUUUCCCUUCAUUAUUCACUUAUAUACAACAACGACAUUUAACAUAAUUCUAAUUUUUCCUGAUGUCAGAGUAAUUUAAUAGAAGGAUUGAUCUGUUCACGAAUAAUUCCUAUUCGUGCCUAUGGUAUGUUGGUGAUUUUAUAUCAUCAAUAUUAUUUAAGUAUAAUAAGAUUAAAUUUGUUGACCAAAAGUGAUCUUAUUGAAUAUUAAACAAGUUAGGAUGGUGUAGGAGUGCACACUUGUUCAAGUUUUUCAAGAUUCAAAGUACAUUGUUAAUUAGGGGCGAAGCCCCUAUACGAAUGGGCCCCUAAACGAAUGGGGGUCCGGGGGCAGCGCCCCUGGGAGUGGGGUCCCUAGGGGCGGCAGCCCCUGACUGGGAUCGAGCUGCUAUAUUAAAAAAUGCAUUAAAAAUCCAGUUUUAGUAAGUUGACAUUUUUUUCCCUGAGAUCUGUUUAAUGACAGGUUUGGUAGUUUUACGAGAGUUUGUAACUGUCUAUUGACAGUUUUCAGACAGGAAUGAUAUAUCUGCUUUUUGGUCAUUUUCUGGUACAUCUUGAAGAGCAUUUUCACAUACAUUCUCAGAUUUGUUUCUCUGAAUUUAAUCCAAUUGAGUGUUCGAUCUGUACCAUCGAAAUGCUUCAAUUUAAUAGUGAAUCACGACUUUUAGAGAAUCCAAGCAAUCUAUUCAUCCCCUAUUUUCUAACAUGGUAAUCAGAGAAACACCCCUUCUUUCCAUCAUAUACAUCAAACAAAAGAAGAAUCUUUUAUGAUCCAGUCAAAAUUAUGGGCCCUGAACAUCACCCGACUCAAAAGCUGCCUUCAUUAAGCCAUUAGUAGCCUCCUCAUCAAACCUAUUCGACAAUACAUUACUUUCCAAAGGUAUUUCAUCGAUCAUAUAUUUCACUUCAAUAACCAUCGCAGUGGUUAGUAUCCUUAAAAUGUUUUUCAUAAGUGUAUUGUUUCAAUUCAGAAAUUGAUGAUGAUGAUGGUAGGUAAUCGUUUACCAACCGGGCUUAAUUUUUUCCUUAAUAAAGCUCACAAAUUCCCAAAUACAGUAUAAAAACAAACGAUACACACAUUUAUUUCAAAUCAGAUGAUUGGACAAAAACUCUCCAUUCUUACUUACGGAUAAGCCUCAAACAACAACACAUCUAAUCCUUGAUAUAUGUUCUGCCCCAGAGUAUCAGAUGAUAUUAUAUGAUACACCUGGUGUUAUCGAGAAGAAGAUGCACAAAGUUAGACACAAUGAUGAUAAAGAAUGUCUGUAGUGUUGCUGAUGUUGAGGUCAUGGUUCUUUUGUUGCACAACAUCCAUGUGAUUAUGACAAUUCAAGUUGGAUGAAGCUGAAAAGAAGAUUUCUCAGAGAGGUGGGGAUGGGGGUGGUUGAAUUUCAGCACAAAACUCACUCCAAUUAUGAGUUGGUUAGUUGGUUGAUGGAGUCAGGUUGUUGUGGUCAAACAGGAACGAAUCGCCAGGUUGCCCAGUACACAUUAUUUUCUCAUAUCAAGAAUCCUAUAAAAAGGUUUCAGGUUCUACAGUUUUGUUUACGUUUAAGGUUGACAUUUAAAAGAAAGUUUGAUAAAGCACGACAACUGCUCAAUGAAAUGCUUCAAGCAGGUUUUGAAUUUUCAUUCCAAUAUGGUAUUAGCCCAUUCGUUGUUACUUUGUAGUUACGGUUGAUCUUCAUUUAUCUAACAUAUAUAACUUUUGUUCAGAGAACACAUUAGCUCUCAACAUAAACCUCCUUUAACACAACAUAUAAUACUUAAAUUUGCAAACGUUAUGAUUUCGAAAAAACUUUUUUCUAACAUUUAAACUAUCUUUGCCUUCAAAUAGAUUUGGCAUUAAACAAGACAAGUUUAUGAUGGUGGUAAGCUAAAAUAAUUUUUAACUCAUUUUUGCUUAUUCUAUUUCUCAAUGUAUGUUGAUAUUUUUAAAUAUAAAAUAGUUAUGUGUCAGUUACUGAAUGAUUAUGUUAGUUUAAGUAUAUUUGACUUGAUUUGUCGUGGGCCCACAAGAGUUACU